rnacentral:rRNA from 1 species
UACGUAGGGUCCAAGCGUUAUCCGGAUUUAUUGGGCGUAAAGCACAUGUAGGUGGUUCGCCAAGUCUAGGCUUAAAUCUCCGGGCUCAACCCGGAAUCUGGCCAAGAUACUGGCGGGCUAGUGGUCAGCAGGGGCAAACGGAAUUCCCGGUGUAGGAGUGAAAUCCGUUGAUAUCGGGAGGAACACCAAUGGCGAAGGCAGUUUGCUAGGCUGAUUCAGACACUGAGAUGUGAAAGCGUGGGGAGCGAACGGG